ACCAGCUCAUGUUUCAUCAGUGAUUUUACGUCUUUUCUUCCUACUGACCUUGUCUGGAUUGGCGGUGGGAUUACUGUAGUUUAGCAAAAUGAGUUGGAAGUGUUCGGUAAAACUCCGUGAAACCAUCUGGACUUGGGCUGUUUUUCAGGGAGAGCGUCUUUAUGACAGACAGGUCGUCUGGUGUCCCAGAAGUCUACUGACAUUUGCUCUGUGGGAUGGUAGGCUUCCUGUGUGUUAAGCACUGUAGCAAACCCUUGGAUGUCAGUGUUGUAUCCCAGCCUAAACGUACCCGGACUUACUGCCUUUGAAAAAAAAUUUGAGCAAUGUUCUUUCCUUCUGCAUAAACCUUCAUGCUGA